rnacentral:rRNA from 1 species
GAGCUAUCUGCAGUUGAGCGCUGAGGUUGGUACUUGUACCGACUGGAUGAGCAGCGAACGGGUGAGUAACGCGUGGGGAAUCUGCCUUUGAGCGGGGGACAACAUUUGGAAACGAAUGCUAAUACCGCAUAAAAACUUUAAACACAAGUUUUAAGUUUGAAAGAUGCAAUUGCAUCACUCAAAGAUGAUCCCGCGUUGUAUUAGCUAGUUGGGGGAGGUAAAGGCUCACCAAGGCGAUGAUACAUAGCCGACCUGAGAGGGUGAUCGGCCACAUUGGGACUGAGACACGGCCCAAACUCCUACGGGAGGCAGCAGUAGG